CUUGGACAGAAUUCCUUCCCUUAUUCAGCGCAUGCUUAUGAAUGCCUCCCCUGAGCCAGGCAAGCUUGAGAUGCUAGGAAUUCAGCUGUGGAAGUUCAGCUCUCAAGAAGCUCACAUCUAGGGUGCGGAGUUAGAGAAAUCAGACCGGCACAUGAUACAGAAGGGACUAGAUCAAGUAGCGUGGAGACCACUGAGACCCAGCCACUGGAGACCAUUAGCCUAGGGAGGUCAUUGGUGUCCUUGCCAAGCCCUGUUUUGGUUCUGGGUCCAGGAGACAGAGUGUAGUCAGAGGAGAGGAAUCACAGACAGCCCAGUGCAGACAACAGGCAACUCUUUCAAGGAGUCAUCUUAUAAAGGAACAUCCAAACUGAGGCAUCAAUUCUUGCAGUCUAAUGCUCCAUUGUAUCCAGAGGCUGAAAGCUCCAUGGUUUUUUGGUCCCUGCAGCAACUAGAACAGUACCUGGCAGACACAAGACACGUAAUACAUAUUUUUGAAUGAGGAACUUGGCUCCAGAAGCCAUGAGAAUAACUUUGUUCCAACACAUUCAGGCUGCGGUCAGAAAGGGUGAGCUGGAAGCAGUGAGCUGGGAGAUAAUGAAACCAAAACACCAUUAUCAGGAAGCUUGAGAACAAGGCCACCUUUUAAGUAUCUAGAAAUUCCCAUUAAUUUCUUCCACACCUUGUUCCCCAUCCCACCUGAAGACUGAAGCUGAGAGGCUUUUUUCCCAGUCAUCUUGACCACAAGAUCAGUUCUCUCCGUGAACAUAAAGACAAAAUCGCUGUGACACCAACAGACAGAUUUUUUAACAAGUGGAAUCCAUGUCUCAUGUAAACAAUGUGCUACUGCCUGCCAUUGAGUUCUCUUCCCUCGUUUUCCUUUUUGAAGACUUAACCCCUUUCCCAAAGGGACAUGUGCUCAGGUUUCUUGACUCCACAGCAAUCCCUUCUGUUGUGUAAGGCAAACUGAUCACCUUUCACAACGAGACAAGAAGUGAUUUAAAUCAGAUGGUGACCCAAUGACAAUGUCUGUGCUGUGUCCUAUGGAGAAAACCAAAGCUGAAAUCCAGUAACAGGUGAUAGGAAGAUGUGGAGAUAGAAACUGACCUGAAUUCUGAAAAACAACAAGAGAAAAGGAAGUCUGAGAACAAGCUGGUGUUCUUCCAAAACCUGUUCAUUGUGUGAAUUCCUAGAAGAUAGCGUGACACCGAGAAACAGGCUGGAGUGACACACCCAAACAAUUAUGCUACCUGGAUCUGCCAAGGCAGGAGGACAAACUCAGCAGCCUGGAGAAUGGAGGACACAGUCCAGAGUUGGUGAGCCAAGUUUUCUUCUGUUUGUUUUGCUGUUGCUGUUUUUGUUCUUGUUGACCUAUUGAGUUCUAUGAUGAGACCAAACGUUUAAUAAUUGUCUUCUAUUCUAAAACUUGUCUCUCAGCAACAACAGCAGCAAUUACUUUUGACCACUCACUAUCGGAAAACACUGCUUUAGGCUGUGGAAAUGCAGUAGUAGAAAAGCCAGGCAUAAUCCUUAUCCCCAUGGAGGCACUAUCUCCAUCCAAGGGCAGAGGACCUGCAAGCCCUGAGGUCUCCAGCUGAGGUUCCUCUCUGAAGGACAGUUGCACUUCAGGUCAUGCUGCAGUAUGAGAGAAGGCAGCGUGACAUCUUGAGUUUCUAAUGCUCACACCUGUCUCAGUGAAGCAUUUUUACAGAGUAAUCACCACCCCCCUCACACCCCCAACAAUGUCAUCAAGUCAUAAAUCUCCUUGGUUUGAAAUAUUGGAUUAAAAUAUGAUUAAACAAUAUGUCUCAAUGGAAAGUU
rnacentral:lncRNA from 1 species